rnacentral:misc_RNA from 1 species
GGUUAACAGACCUCCAUAAUGUUAUUAUUGACUGUUGAAACAACAUCCAGAUACAUUCUUACAUCACAUUAAGUUGCCUUGCAUAUAGCCAUCAAUGGUGAGAAACUAAAAUGCAAGAUAUAAUACAACAGUGGAAAAUAGCCAACAUACAACGAAUAGAGAGAUAAUCUGGCUUGUCAUCCACUAACAUUUUCAGCAGACAUGUCGUUCUCUUCAUCACUUCCUUGACGUAUUCUUGCAAUUUCUGCCUGAGCUCUCUCCAUAAUUUGCCUCUUUUGGAGUUCCAAUUCUCGGUGGAAGUCCAUCCUCAUUUUCUCCAGUUCCAUCAUUUGCUGUCUCUUGCUAUUCUCAAUCUUCACAUAUAUCUCACUAAAUUUAUGGAUAGAAUCUGCUAUUAAUUUGAAAGAAUGUCCAUUCCCAUUCCCGUUCCCUCCUGGUUGUACAUUUCUUGAUCUUUUUGGUGGAAGAUCCUCUGAACCAUCCUCCUCACCAUCAGCAGAUUCUGAGUUAGCAGGACUGUCCCUCAUCUCAUCCAAGCCAUUAGCACGAUUCAGAUAAGCUUUUGGGCUCAUGAAAACAUACUCUCCAGAGUCCAUUCCACAUGAAACACCAGCUUUCUGGGGAGUUGAUGUUAGUAACAUGUCCAUCUUUUUGAAGUACACCCACUUGCUAGUGCUAUUUCCAGUCUCUGCAAACUUCAUCUUCUCCUUUUUGUAUUUCUUUUUCAAAGUAUCCAAACGGUUACGACAUUGGGUGUCUGUCCUCUCAAUUUUGGACCCCCGUGACACUCUGUCUGCAACUUCUUGCCAUUCCUCUGAUCGAAGACUCUUCCUCCCAUGUCGAACAAACCUAGUGCCCCAUGCAUCAAGCAAAAUAAAUGUCUCAUUUUCAGACCAAUCUGAAAGUGGAUUCCUACCACCAAAUGAAGGCUUAGGAGCAGUUGCAGCUGUAGUAGAUGGUGGUGGUACUCGAGGUGCAAACUCAUAACUUGAUAACAAGCUCUUUAACUUCCUCUUCUUUUGAUGCCUC